GCGUAAACGAUGAGUGCUAAGUGUUGGAGGUUUCCCCUUCAGUGCUGCAGCUAACGCAUUAAGCACUCCGCUGGGGAGUACGACCGCAAGGUUGAAACUCAAAGGAAUUGACGGGGGCCCGCACAAGCGGUGGAGCAUGUGGUUUAAUUCGAAGCAACGCGAAGAACCUUACCAGGUCUUGACAUCCUUUGACCACUCUAGAGAUAGAGCUUUCCCUUCGGGGACAAAGUGACAGGUGGUGCAUGGUUGUCGUCAGCUCGUGUCGUGAGAUGUUGGGUUAAGUCCCGCAACGAGCGCAACCCUUAUUGUUAGUUGCCAUCAUUCAGUUGGGCACUCUAGCGAGACUGCCGGUGACAAACCGGAGGAAGGUGGGGAUGACGUCAAAUCAUCAUGCCCCUUAUGACCUGGGCUACACACGUGCUACAAUGGGAAGUACAACGAGUCGCUAGGCCGCGAGGUCAUGCAAAUCUCUUAAAGCUUCUCUCAGUUCGGAUUGCAGGCUGCAACUCGCCUGCAUGAAGCCGGAAUCGCUAGUAAUCGCGGAUCAGCACGCCGCGGUGAAUACGUUCCCGGGCCUUGUACACACCGCCCGUCACACCACGAAAGUUUGUAACACCCGAAGUCGGUGAGGUAACCUUUUGGAGCCAGCCGCCUAAGGUGGGAUAGAUGAUUGGGGUGAAGUCGUAACAAGGUAACCAAGGGCGAAUUCCAG
rnacentral:rRNA from 1 species